AGGACGAACGCUGGCGGCGUGCUUAACACAUGCAAGUCGAGCGGAAGGGCCUUUCGGGGUACUCGAGCGGCGAACGGGUGAGUAACACGUGAGUAAUCUGCCCAUCGCUUCAGGAUAGCCAUCGGAAACGGUGAUUAAUACUGGAUAUGACAUUCCUUCGCAUGUUGGGGUGUGGAAAGUUUUUUCGGCGGUGGAUGUGCUCGCGGCCUAUCAGCUUGUUGGUGGGGUAAUGGCCUACCAAGGCUUUGACGGGUAGCCGGCCUGAGAGGGUGACCGGCCACACUGGGACUGAGACACGGCCCAGACUCCGUACGGGAGGCAGCAGGUGGGGAAUAGUUGGACAAGUGGGACGGAAGCCUGGAUCCGAGCAACGGCCGUGGUGGAGGAUGACGGUCCGUUCGGGUUACGUAACCUC
rnacentral:rRNA from 1 species